UCCGCCUCCAAUUAGUAGCUUGCGCCGUUAACUCUCUGCACCUGUACGUCAUGCAGACAUGUUGGUGAAUGGAACUUCAAAGGCAUCUUAAAAUUCCCUCACUCACUGCAUGUGAAAGGCUUGGACAGCCUCAUUCACUCCAGAUGUGUUGGAUUUCCAGGCACUGCCGUCUUUCAUCCUGGGUCAACAUCACACACACCAAUUCUCCCACAGGACCAGAUCGGAAAGGUAGAGAAUAUCCAUGUCAACCCUGACACACAAGUCACCUGAGAGGGAGGGCAUGGGGGAAGAUGGAUGGGACGCCAACAGACAGGGAGAGAGAGUCCUCAGAGAGGUAUGAUAAGAGUAGCGAGGAGACAGGAGCUGAUGGGAGCAUCAGGGAGAGUGGUAUGACGUUUAAAAACAAUGAGGAUCUUCAAUGUGGCAACAAGGUUUAUACAUGGGGUCAACAGUGAACAUUUAUCAAAAAAAAAAAAAAAAAUCUUUGUUGCCAUGUUGUUUGACUAAUUUUACAUUUAUGGUGCAAUAAGUCAAUGCCUCUCCUCUUCUGUGUUUUAGUGCCUGUGGUAGAUGAAAAUAAACAAAGCCUAGUUUUUGCCCAGAAAUUUGUCAAGGAGAUCCUGUGGAACCUGCUACAUGUAGAAAUGUCUCUUCCCUGAGCUUAACAAAAUGCAGGAAGUCCUCCAACCGAAACGACCACAUAGAUCAUUUGUUCUUAUACUCAGCAGGUGUACCAGACUUUUGUUGUCAUCGGUUCAGUAAUAAAAACAUGGUUGAAGUCGUGGAAUGGGCAUGGAUUAAAGGAACAACAUCGAAUAUUGAAUUCACACAGGAAACAAUACAGUAACCUUCAUUUUUGUAAAGGAAGUUUUUUGUUAUUUUAAUUCAUCCCCAUGAAAUCCUGCCCUGUAAGAAAAUACAAAAAUGUUAUACCUCGCCAGGCCUGAAAAAAUAAUACAAUUACUUAAAAUAUACCUAUAUUGGAAAGUUCAAGGCUCAGCAUCAGAGCCAACCUCUUAAUUACCUUUCAAUCAAUUCUGGACACGUUAAGAUUCUGGCAGUAGGCUAAAGAAAUAUA